AGAGUUUGAUCAUGGCUCAGAUUGAACGCUGGCGGCAGGCCUAACACAUGCAAGUCGAGCGGUAACAUUUCUAGCUUGCUAGAAGAUGACGAGCGGCGGACGGGUGAGUAAUGCUUGGGAAUAUGCCUUAGGGUGGGGGACAACAGUUGGAAACGACUGCUAAUACCGCAUGACGUCUACGGACCAAAGGGGGCUUCGGCUCUCGCCCUUAGAUUAGCCCAAGUGGGAUUAGCUAGUUGGUGAGGUAAAGGCUCACCAAGGCGACGAUCCCUAGCUGGUUUGAGAGGAUGAUCAGCCACACUGGAACUGAGACACGGUCCAGACUCCUACGGGAGGCAGCAGUGGGGAAUAUUGCACAAUGGGCGCAAGCCUGAUGCAGCCAUGCCGCGUGUGUGAAGAAGGCCUUAGGGUUGUAAAGCACUUUCAGUAAGGAGGAAAGGUUAGUAGUUAAUACCUGCUAGCUGUGACGUUACUUACAGAAGAAGCACCGGCUAACUCCGUGCCAGCAGCCGCGGUAAUACGGAGGGUGCGAGCGUUAAUCGGAAUUACUGGGCGUAAAGCGUACGCAGGCGGUUUGUUAAGCGAGAUGUGAAAGCCCCGGGCUCAACCUGGGAACUGCAUUUCGAACUGGCAAACUAGAGUAUGAUAGAGGGUGGUAGAAUUUCAGGUGUAGCGGUGAAAUGCGUAGAGAUCUGAAGGAAUACCGAUGGCGAAGGCAGCCACCUGGGUCGAUACUGACGCUCAUGUACGAAAGCGUGGGGAG
rnacentral:rRNA from 1 species